UACGUAGGGUGCAAGCGUUGUCCGGAAUUAUUGGGCGUAAAGAGCUCGUAGGCGGUCUGUCGCGUCGGCUGUGAAAACCCGGAGCUCAACUCCGGGCCUGCAGUCGAUACGGGCAGACUGGAGUUCGGCAGGGGAGACUGGAAUUCCUGGUGUAGCGGUGAAAUGCGCAGAUAUCAGGAGGAACACCGGUGGCGAAGGCGGCGACCUGGUCCGAGACUGACGCUGAGGCGCGAAAGCGUGGGGAGCAAACAGG
rnacentral:rRNA from 1 species